rnacentral:rRNA from 1 species
GGAAGUGGGAUGACGUCAAAUCAUCAUGCCCCUUAUGUCUGGGCUACACACGUGCUACAAUGGUUGGUACAACGAGUUGCGAGUCGGUGACGGCGAGCUAAUCUCUUAAAGCCAAUCUCAGUUCGGAUUGUAGGCUGCAACUCGCCUACAUGAAGUCGGAAUCGCUAGUAAUCGCGGAUCAGCACGCCGCGGUGAAUACGUUCCCGGGCCUU